rnacentral:tRNA from 1 species
GGAGAGAUGGCCGAGCCAGGCCUAAGGCGCUCGCCUGCUAAGCGAGUGUCCCGGGAAACUGGGAUCGAGGGUUCAAAUCCCUCUCUCUCCGCCA